GAAGAAUACCUGGUAGAUAGGCUAGGAGUGUAAGGGCAGUAAUGUCUUAAGCGGACUAGUACUAAUCGGUCGAGGGCUUGACCU
rnacentral:rRNA from 1 species